rnacentral:rRNA from 1 species
GUCGAGAAUCUUUCACAAUGGGGGCAACCCUGAUGGAGCGACGCCGCGUGGAGGAUAAGGUCUUCGGAUUGUAAACUCCUGUCAUGCGUGAACAAGGUUGCUUGGUUAAUACCUGGGCAAAUUGAUGGUAACGCAAGAGGAAGAGACGGCUAACUCUGUGCCAGCAGCCGCGGUAAUACAGAGGUCUCAAGCGUUGUUCGGAAUCACUGGGCGUAAAGGGUGCGUAGGUGGCGUGGUAAGUCAGAUGUGAAAGCCCGGGGCUCAACCUCGGAACGGCAUACGAUACUGCCAUGCUAGAGUACUGGAGAGGUGACUAGAAUUCUCGGUGUAGCAGUGAAAUGCGUAGAUAUCGAGAGGAAUACCAAAGGCGUAGGCAGGUCACUGGACAGUUACUGACACUGAGGCACGAAGGCCAGGGGAGCGAACGGGAUUAGAAACCCUAGUAGUCC